UUUGUGUCGCGGAUCGUGAAAUGGAGCAACUGUACGCGGUCACUCCUACUGGGGACUUUGAACUUCGGGGGCGUUCACCCUCAUCUGAUUAAUAACGUCAAGUUCGUCAACUUCAACUUCCAGUUAUCUUAUGCUCCUUAUUUUGGCUUCACAAAAUCAGAGGUUGAGCGUUUACUUUCGAAAUUCAAGCAUACUGCAGCCCUUGAAAGAGUCACGGAUUGCUACAACGGGUAUUCUUCCAGGGAUGCGCCCAAACUCGCCAUCUACAACCCCUUCUCAGUGCUGGCAUUUUUGAAGAACGGGAAGUUAAAAAAUUACUGGUUGAAAGAGGCCCCCAGUUUAGGACCUUUGAAACCACUCUUUUCCUACCCCCUGAUUGGAAAUGUUAUUCAGGACAUACUGCUCGGUGACUCAGGACUGCACUCUUUUCUUGACGAAAAGUUGACCUUAAAACAAAGUGAAAGCUUGAAAAGAUAUGCCCGAAGAGUUCAAAGUCGGCCGCCAUCGCGCGAUGAGGUGAUCAAUCCGCUCAUCCGAUACCUGACCCAAGUUGGAUUUCUUGCACUCAAGCCCAGUGGGCCUUUUGAAGGUGACUAUUUGAAGGCACCUAACUUAGAAACUGAGCAGUAUUUGGAGAAGCAUUUGUACGAAAGUGACUUUAUUCUGAACGCAGCUGAAGUUACUGAGGCUGACACUGAGAGGCUGGCCGACGCCUUCCUCGGGCUGUCAAAAAAUGAUUCAUACUUUCAAGAAUUGUCGGAUAUAAUUUACGCCGUAACGAAGAAGAAUCCACCCUCUCAUUAUACGAAGCCGUCGGUGCUAGGGUACUUGUAUGGAGCUUUGAAGCGUCCGGUGAACCGGAAAAAGUUCAAAGUUGUUAGAGCUAAGGUCAAAGUCGAGUGCGGUGCCCCCAGUGAAAAGAAGUUGAGAAUAGAAAGGGCAGAUUUAGUGCUCAUUACCCCCGAUGACACGGGAAUAAUUUUAAAGUAUGCGAUAGACGAGGCCUCGUACGUAAAUUUGAAGCGUAUUAUUCAAGGACGACAAUACUUCGUUUUCGAGCAAAAAUUUAAAAGCUUCGAGCUGUCUCAGAUGAUAUUUCUGGGGCUUGGUUUUGAUGGUGGUAAACCUGGUAUUUGCUUCAACAGGAAUACAACUGACUUGAUUAAGAACCAGUGGGUGAAGAGUCCUAAAAGUUAA
rnacentral:lncRNA from 1 species